rnacentral:rRNA from 1 species
UACGGAGGAUGCGAGCGUUAUCCGGAUUUAUUGGGUUUAAAGGGUGCGUAGACGGUUAAUCAAGUCUGAAGUGAAAGCCCGCGGCUCAACUGCGGAACGGCUUUGGAAACUGAGUAACUGGAGUGCUGGAGGGGCAGGCGGAAUUCCUGGUGUAGCGGUGAAAUGCGUAGAUAUCAGGAGGAACACCAGUGGCGAAAGCGGCUCUCUGGUCUGUAACUGACGCUGAGGUUCGAAAGCGUGGGUAGCAAACAGG